rnacentral:rRNA from 1 species
AACGAACGCUGGCGGCAUGCCUAACACAUGCAAGUCGAACGAGACCUUCGGGUCUAGGGGCGCACGGGUGCGUAACGCGUGGGAACCUGCCCUUAGGUUCGGAAUAACUCCCCGAAAGGGGUGCUAAUACCGGAUAAUGUCUUCGGACCAAAGAUUUAUCGCCUUUGGAUGGGCCCGCGUUGGAUUAGCUAGUUGGUAGGGUAAAAGCCUACCAAGGCGACGAUCCAUAGCUGGUCUGAGAGGAUGAUCAGCCACACUGGGACUGAGACACGGCCCAGACUCCUACGGGAGGCAGCAGUGGGGAAUAUUGGACGAUGGGCGAAAGCCUGAUCCAGCAGUGCCGCGUGAGUGAUGAAGGCCUUAGGGUUGUGAAGCUCUUUUACCCGGGAUGAUAAUGACAGUACCGGGAGAAUAAGCUCCGGCUAACUCCGUG